GGAUUAGAUAUUUUAGCUGAGUCGCGCUUUAGCUCUUUGAUGUCAGGAGUGAUUUGAGGUUAAGGUGUGGUUUUCAGCUAAAGGACGAAUUACUUAAAUUGUAGCAGAGCUUAUAUUUAAUUCUUCGACGUUUAGCCUUUAUUUACAGUUAGAGUGAGACAUUAAAGUGGGUGAGAGAUAGGCUACUGGAAAUGGGAUCGGGGCAUGUAUGUGCGCUGCGUUGUGCGCCAGAACUGCGCCUGAACUGAAUCAUGAGGGUUUUAACGGUUUUCGCGAGGAUUUGAUACGCGUGUCACCGGGGGGAUAUUUAAAUCCAGGAAGCGUUCGGUUACACAACGGAGGCCAACCGUUCGACAUUCGUUCUAACUUUUCGGAAGUGCGUGAACCCACGUCAGAACGAAUGGAAUCUGUUACAUUCCAUUGGAAGAGAUCGCGAGAGCGCUCGGUUCAGAGUUGAGCCGUACAGGGCGUGAGCCGUACGCUAGUAGACAGUCUGUAGGCAGAAUGAGGGGGAAAAAAAACCCCAUAGCGAAAAUAAAGGAUGUUACGCCAGUUUUAUGUGAUAUCUGGGAGUCGACCGCUUUCCAGCGUGACAUACGAAUCGAUCGACGAGAGAAAUCAAGAAUUCUACCAGUGAACCUAACAUCUGGAGUGGAGACAUACUGUUUCAACAGUAUGGCAUUGUGGAUUUCUUCUUACGUCUGAAUGGCGUCCGACUGCUGAAGGCAGUCAAGCUAGUUCACCUCAGCAGUACAGAGUGUGAGCUGGCCCAGCUCUGUGGGAGGGUGGAGUCAGUCCAGCGCGGCGUAUCUCAGACAGCAUGGAGGGCCUCUGCAGACCGAAUGGAAUUUAUACCAUAUGUACCAGGCAUCCCAAGAAUGCACGGCACAGAGACUUGACCAACGGAAAGAACUGCAGAAAGUGCAAUGGAAAGGGUCCAGACAGCUCUGAUCAACUCAGAACAAAGUGGAACAAACAGACACCCUCCUGCUGGAGCUUACAGGGGCUCGGCACUGGCAGUGCUGCAACACACUCGUUACGAUCCAGCUGUUGGCCACAUGUGUGUGAUGGGGUCAUUGAGUCCAUACCCGGCUCUACAUCAUAUCCUUUCUUUCAGAGUUCCUAAGGACCAUGUUGGGAUGAACAGUAGGCGGCUGAAGAACCUCGGCUUUGUCCAGAAGGUUCUAGGCUCUUCUGGUUGUGGAUGUAGUGUGAAGAUGCUGAGGAAAGCCCUUCUGUGGAUGAGAAGGUGGGGCUGCUGGCCCUAAUCCUGUUAUCCCAGCCUUCUUAAUCCAGAUCCAGUCAGUCUUUACACCUCUUCAGUCACACAAAUACAAACACACUUCCA
rnacentral:lncRNA from 1 species